rnacentral:lncRNA from 1 species
GGUCCCUUGAGGACAUGAAUAUUCCUUCUGUCGUUAAUGGUGGAACAUACCAUUAGGGAAGGAACUUCCUUUUUUAAAGACCCUUAACAACUGUGGACUCUGGAGUUUUAUAAUUAAAUGACUGGUCAUUGAACUGUGAGUGUUCAGUUCUGUGGUUUCUUCUGAUCUUUGUCUGCCUUUGGGUGUAUUAGUGCUAUUUCUGUUCUAUAAGUCUAGCAGCUGCUAGAAAUACCUCAGAUGUUUGCUGAAAUUAGGUGGUAAUUUUAUAUACAAUGCUGCUGAUUGGAUUGCUCAGGAUGGAGGUUUGCUUUUUUUUUUUUUAAUCUGUCUUCCAACAUAAAGUUGGUUAGAUUGGGGAAUUGCUCUGAUUUCUGAAAAUUGGUUUUUAAAUGUGCAGCAUGCUACCGCAGUUGCCAUAAACAGCUGCGAACUGUGUAUUAGCUUGAACACAUGGUAAUCAUUUUCUGGCUGGAAUCAUGAAUGUUGCUU